GAUGAACGCUAGCUACAGGCUUAACACAUGCAAGUCGAGGGACCGGCGUACGGGUGAGUAACGCGUAUCCAACCUUCCCAUUACUGUGGGAUAACCUGCCGAAAGGCAGACUAAUACCGCAUAGUAAUGGCUGGGGAUGCGUGUGAUUAGCUUGUUGGCGGGGUAACGGCCCACCAAGGCGACGAUCAGUAGGGGUUCUGAUAGGAAGGUUCCCCACAAUGGAACUGAGACACGGUCCUGACUCCUACUGGAGGCAGCAGUGAGGAAUAUUGGUCAAUGGACGGAAGGCUGAUCCAGCCAAGUGGCGUGUAUGAAGAAGGCUUCGGGUUGUAAAGUACUUUCAGUCGGGAGGCGUUACCGAAAGAAGAAGCACCGGCUAACUCCGUGCCAGCAGCCGCGGUAAUAG
rnacentral:rRNA from 1 species